rnacentral:lncRNA from 1 species
UGAAUGAUAGAGGUGGUGUGGUGAUUGACCUCAAUGCUAAUGGUUAUCCCCAAGGUUCAACGAAUGAAUGAAGCUAUGCUAUGAUCGUACCCGGAUAGAGAUGAUAGUCUUCCUCUGAUGUCUCCAAGCCGGCCAUAAUAGAAUCGAUAGGCGAAGCAGCCAAUAGCAGUCUGUUCUCGCCUAUUGAUAGAUAGCAGGUUGCUUCCAAGCUCAAAUCAUUUGAAAUAGAAUUGCUACUUUUUUCUUGUUAUUGAUAGAGUGGUAUUGUCGCCCCUAUCAAAUAAAGUAGAGGAAGAGUCUUUCUCCAAUGAGAAUAAAGAAAGUUUUUGGGCAAGACAAGAAAGGAACUCGCCCUUUGACACCAAGGGAUAAGAGCGGAUUGCUGGCGAUGACUUGGUGAAGGGAAUCUAUGAGAGAAGGUUCUCGACGAACCGGGUUCCGACCGAAUAGAGCGCGGAGCCAAUGAGUUCAGUCGAACAACGUAACGAGUCUAAGGGCGCUUGAAAGGAAUGGACGGGCGAAGGAAAAUGAAAUAUGAAAAAAAAUCUGCUUUGGGAGUGUGAGAUAGGCGGACGGGGAGUACGCAGCCGAACAACCGCAGGGGCUUCCAGCAGUGAUAGCUGAACUAACCAGACGGGCCGCCCAAAACCUGGAGCUGACAUUGAAAUCGGAAAUCAAAGUCGGACCCCGGCUAUCCGAAGAAGGCAGACUGAAGCGGAGGAGCAGAAAAUGCAACACAACAAGGGGCGAAUCAAUCAGAAUGGAGACAGGGAGGAGAGGUAAAAGAUAGAUUUUCGAGCCUGAACAUAUAAGCAACCUUCUAUCUGGCCUCUGUACCAGUAGUGGAGUGGCUUGCUAUUUUCAAUCAGAAAAGGAAGAUUGAGCAAUGCAAAGGAGAAAGAAGUUGUCCCCUCUUCUCUGGUAACCCGCCGCCGCAUAUGUCGAAAAAGAGGGAGCGGGGAAGGAAGAACAACCGUUUUACUUUGGCACAUGAGGUGGCGGGU